UUGCAGCAGUAUCACAUCACAGCACGGUUGUGGUUACCUCAGUGCAGUGGUUGUGGUUAUCCCAGUCCACUCACAGGACGUGGGCUCAUCCUAUGACAGCAUUAAGUUUUGGUUUCCACCCAAUUGACCUGGGACUAAACACAGGCAACAAGUGGCCCCUGCUGGAUAGCAGCUUUCUGUUCACAUCAGGAUGUUCCCGCUCGAGGAGAAACCCUCCAGCAGAACGAGUUAAAUGAAAUCCCAUACAUUAGCAGGAUGCAAAUGUAUACCAUGAAGAAAAAGGAGAAAAUGCAUCUUUUUUUUUUUUUUUCCCCAGCAAGUGUUUUAGUGGUGUUGCUUUGAUUUGUAUUACUGCACAGAAGUUAUGGAGGUGGAGAAGUCUCCUUGACUACUUCUUUCUCCUAAGUCUUUGUAAUUUUGAUCAUUGUUUCUACCCAUCUGUAGAAAUAAUCUUCCUUAUGGACUCAAUCACAUACUGUCUGUUUUAAUGAGCCCAGUGACUGUUGUAGAGAGUGAUGCCAAGUGUGAUGAUCUUUAGCUAUUUCUGUAGGAAAGCAGCUUAGCAGGCCAUAUGUCAUAUUUCCUAGUAAAUGAUUGUUUUGAAUUGUUUUUAUACUGUAGUUUCUAUUCAUGAGAUAUUAAAGAAAAUAGCAUCUGGUUAAUCAAAUUCUGAAUUUCAGCAUAUGAUGAUAUAUAUCAAUCCUAUUCUGUGACUUUCUUUGAAAUAGAUUGUAAGUUUAGUGCAGACAAUUUCUCUCUGUUGGCUGGUAAUAGGUGACUAUUAUACCUUAAAAUUUUAAGGGCGAAGAGCUAAGGCAGUUUGAAGUUUAACAAGAGCUGAGUUCAGCUACUGUUGCCAGAAAGGAGUUUGCACCACCCUUCUACCACACAUUUCUAAAGACAAACAGCGAACAGAAGAAGUGAGGCUUGAGCAAAGAUUGGAAAAACAGGGCUGGAGAUUAAUGAGUUGGCCAGGAUUACACCCACAUAAUAAGUCAGAUGCAAAGCCACAAUUAGAACUGGAGUACCUCAUGGCAGCCUUCUGAAGAGUUUGAUAUUUCUUUGCUUGCUUGGGUGCACAGGAAGUUGUCUGUUUAAAAGGUUUGUGUCAUCUCCAGGUGUCCCAUGGAUCAACUUAAGAACCAGAG